CACUCCCUUUUACUUUCAUUUCCUAGCCAUCAUGACUUUCAGGUUCCUACAAAAUUAAUGGCAUGCAGAUAUCAGCAAACUCUUGGCCCAUACAGAGUAGGGACAAAGGAGUCAUAGCUGCCAUGGUCUCCACAGGCAGAAGAAAAGGUGGUCAAGAAUGAGGCUAGGAGGGUAGGGUAGGAGAGAGGACAAAAACCAGAAGCAGAGGAUCCCAAUGAUUCGGAAUGCUAAAGGGUCUGUAUUUGGGCCACUGGCUGUUCGCUUUGCAUGUUCAUUCCUUUAACAAACAGACCAAAGGAGGGCCCACUAUUAGGGAAGUCUAGGCACAUUGAAUCCCAAAUCCCAAGUCCCGGCUCUACCACUUUCCAAUUGUAUGUUCCAAGGGAAACUACUUCAAUUCCUUCGGUGGCAUCUCUGAGGUGAAGGUACAAAUCCCACUAUCUCCCAGGACUCUUAAUGAGGAACAUGUGUGAAAAGAACUUUGCAACUUGAAAAGAACUUCUGAAAAUUAGUUGUUACCACCCUUCUGUAGUAUAAAGGCAGAAAAAGGCUUACUAGUGGUAAGAGGCAAGAGGGGAGAGGAAGGGCAUCACAGAGGAGGGGCUUUUACCCCACACAGAGCCCUCUCUUUCUGCCAAGCAGUGUCAGAUCUCUUGAGAUGUCUGGAUGCCAGAAGUGGCUGCCUAACCACCCGGAGCACUGGUGCUUUCCUUGUCUCUCCGAAAGGGACAGCGUCUCCUUCAAAAGCCGACUACAGAAUCGGAGCUGGGAGAGCAUGUCCCGACAACGAAGGUCCCCUCGGAAGCCUGGUCAGCUUCAUCCUGAGACUCCCCGAGUUCCAGAAGCCACAGCCUCCUACUAAGGAGCCCAGAAAGGACUGGAGAUAUCUGGAACUAGAAGUGGCAUCUACCUGUUGAUAAGGGAGACCAGCAGACAGCAGUCCCAGGAGGAGCAGUCCCUCUGAAGCAGCUUGAAAAC